UGCAGUCGCACGAGAAAGUGGAGCAAUCCAUGAGUAAAGUGGCGUACGGGUGAGUAACACGUGGAUAAUCUGCCCUUUAGUGGGGAAUAACCCUGGGAAACCGGGGCUAAUACCGCAUAAGCCUGAGAAGGGAAAGCAGCAAUGCGCUGAAGGAGGAGUCCGCGGCCGAUUAGCUAGUUGGUAGGGUAAUGGCCUACCAAGGCAAUGAUCGGUAGCCGGCCUGAGAGGGCACACGGCCACACUGGCACUGAAACACGGGCCAGACUCCUACGGGAGGCAGCAGUGGGGAAUCUUGCACAAUGGAGGAAACUCUGAUGCAGCGACGCCGCGUGAGCGAUGAAGCCCUUCGGGGUGUAAAGCUCUUUCGACAGGAACGAUAAUGACGGUACCUGGAGAAGAAGCUGCGGCUAACUACGUGCCAGCAGCCGCGGUAAUACGUAGGCAGCAAGCGUUGUUCGGAAUUACUGGGCGUAAAGAGUGUGUAGGCGGUUCUCUAAGUUCGGUGUGAAAUCUCCCGGCUCAACUGGGAGGGUGCGCCGGAAACUGGAGGGCUUGAGUAUGGGAGAGGAAGGCGGAAUUCCUGGUGUAGCGGUGAAAUGCGUAGAUAUCAGGAGGAACACCUGCGGUGUAGACAGCUUUCUGGACCAUCACUGACGCUGAGACACGAAAGCGUGGGUAGCAAACAGGAUUAGAUACCCUGGUAGUCCACGCCCUAAACGAUGCAUACUUGGUGUGAGCCGUUCAGUCGGUUCGUGCCGGAGCUAACGCGUUAAGUAUGCCGCCUGGGGAGUACGGUCGCAAGGCUGAAACUCAAGAAUUGACGGGGGCCCGCACAAGCGGUGGACAUGGGUUUAAUUCGACGCACGCGAAGAACUUACCUGGGCUCGAACGGCCGGUCAACGAUCGUGGAA
rnacentral:rRNA from 1 species